ensembl:lncRNA
GUACUGCCGGCCGGGUCUGUGUGACUGAUGUAGCUAAAGGCAUCUCGGAAACACAGAGCAGACAGAUCUGAAAAGCCAUCGAGAUGAGUGGAUGAGAGACAGCUACUAUUUUUAGAGAACAAAAGGACGUAGAAUGAUUGUAGCCAUUUAAAAAGUGAUUAAAUGGUUAUAUAGCAUUAAGAAAAUUAAGAGCCAUGAUGGAUUACUUUCUGUCGACAAGAAAGAGUGUUCUUCCUCCCAGACGAAGUUCUAGGACACUUAUAAAAUUGUGGCAAGCCCUGCUGGGUUUCUCCGUCUGAAGAAUGAGGAAAUUCAACUAAGUGAUGUCUGAAGUCCCUGUUAGCUCCAGAAAUAACGGAUGUUGACUUGGAAGACUAGGUCCCUGGAGCACCCUUCCUCUGGUUUCCAGAGGGGGUUCCUGUAGAAACGAAGAGCAUGGCCACAACGAGGGACGCUGUAUCCUCGCUGCUGUCACUCUGGAAGGGGGUGCAUCCCUGGACUGCUGCAGGUCCAACAAGCAGUGGUCUUUUCCAAAGCUAUCAUUUAUCCAUCACUCUCUGGGCCUGGCAGUAGAAAUGGCAUCCUGCUCCACCCACUGCAUGGGCUCCUCAGCACCGUCUAUUGCUGUCUUUUACCCUGUCCCCACCAUUAAAA